GCCUUUUUGUAGUGAGAACACUUCAAAUUUCUUAGCAAAUAUUCAAUAAUACAGUACAUUAUUCCUAACUGUAGCCAUGUUAUACAAUAGGUAUUUUGAAACAUUUACUAUAUUUGCUGUACUUAGUUAUGAUAUUAAAAAUGAACACUGAGAAAUUUUUUGAAUUCUCAUUUAAAAUAUCAGUACUUAUUACACAACAUAAUUUAUGAAAGUGACUGUUUUUCCAAACAAAUUAGGAAGAGAAAUAAUGGUGUUUCAUUUUGGUAAAUUUCUUUAAUGUCCGACUUAGCAGAAUGCAGCUGGAUCCUCAUCUCUGCUUUUGCCUUCAGCCUCUCACGGACCGCGCCCCAUUGGGUGACCUGUAGAAAAUUCUCUUGUACAGUCGGAAGAGCAUGAAUGUGGGAAGGCAAUAAUAUCUCAGCAUUAUUAUGAAAAUAGUGUUGACCUUGGAAAUCCGGUUUGAGAAUUGCUGAAUUAGAGAGGCAUUACAAAGGCUCUUCUUAAGUUUGCUGAUGACGGGCUCAGGGAAAGAGAAGCUGACAUCAGCACCUUGUAGCUCCGGGACCGUGACUGACACAGACACUUAAGAGCACCAUGCUGGUUUUGGCAUUGGAUGAGUGUGACAAGAAGAAAGAAAUCGAAAGCCUGUCCAGGAGAGUGGGAAAGCCUGCAUGAUGCAUUAGAGUGCAAGGAAACACUGCUAUGUUUCUGGUCUCCCGAGGCAGUGCUCAUUCUCCUGGACCUAGCCCUGCCCUGCUUACAGCGCUCUGCACUGGUUGCGCCACAUCCUA
rnacentral:lncRNA from 1 species